CAGGUCCAACUGCAGCAGCCUGGGGCUGAGCUGGUGAGGCCUGGGUCUUCAGUGAAGCUGUCCUGCAAGGCUUCUGGCUACACCUUCACCAGCUACUGGAUGCAUUGGGUGAAGCAGAGGCCUAUACAAGGCCUUGAAUGGAUUGGUAACAUUGACCCUUCUGAUAGUGAAACUCACUACAAUCAAAAGUUCAAGGACAAGGCCACAUUGACUGUAGACAAAUCCUCCAGCACAGCCUACAUGCAGCUCAGCAGCCUGACAUCUGAGGACUCUGCGGUCUAUUACUGUGCAAGA